AACGGGGGGGGCAAGUGUUCUUCGGAAUCAUUGGGUUUAAAGGGUCCGUAGGCGGUUUGGUAAGUCAGUGGUGAAAGCCCAUCGCUCAACGGUGGAACGGCCAUUGAUACUGCCAGACUUGAAUUAUUAGGAAGUAACUAGAAUAUGUAGUGUAGCGGUGAAAUGCUUAGAGAUUACAUGGAAUACCAAUUGCGAAGGCAGGUUACUACUAAUGGAUUGACGCUGAUGGACGAAAGCGUGGGUAGCGAACAGG
rnacentral:rRNA from 1 species